CCUACGGGCGGCAGCAGUGGGGAAUAUUGGGCAAUGGGCGCAAGCCUGACCCAGCAACGCCGCGUGAAGGAAGAAGGCUUUCGGGUUGUAAACUUCUUUUCUUAGGGACGAAGAAAGUGACGGUACUUGAGGAAUAAGCCACGGCUAAAUACGUGCCAGCAGCCGCGGGAAUACGUAGGUGGCAAGCGUUAUCCGGAUUUAUUGGGUGUAAAGGGCGUGUAGGCGGGAGCGCAAGUCAGAUGUGAAAACUCAGGGCUCAACCCUGAGCCUGCAUUUGAAACUGUGUUUCUUGAGUGCUGGAGAGGCAAUCGGAAUUCGGGGUGUAGCGGUGAAAUGCGUAGAUAUACGGAGGAACACCAGUGGCGAAGGCGGAUUGCUGGACAGUAACUGACGCUGAGGCGCGAAAGCGUGGGGAGCGAACAGGAUUAGAUACCCCUGUAGUC
rnacentral:rRNA from 1 species